GUCGAUUCUGCCGGACCCGACUGCUAUCAGAGUGGGACUAAGCCAUGCGAGUCAACAUAGCAAUAUGUGGCAUACGGCUCAGUAACACGUAGUCAACAUGCCCAGGGGACGUGGAUAACCUCGGGAAACUGAGGAUAAACCGCGAUAAGUCACUACUUCUGGAAUGGGUAAUGACUCAAAUCUAUAUGGCCCCUGGAUUGGACUGCGGCCGAUCAGGCUGUUGGUGAGGUAAUGGCCCACCAAACCUGUAACCGGUACGGGCUCUGAGAGGAGGAGCCCGGAGAUGGGCACUGAGACAAGGGCCCAGGCCCUAUGGGGCGCAGCAGGCGCGAAACCUCUGCAAUAGGCGAAAGCUUGACAGGGUUACUCUGAGUGAUUUCCGUUAAGGAAAUCUUUUGGCACCUCUAAAAAUGGUGCAGAAUAAGGGGUGGGCAAGUCUGGUGUCAGCCGCCGCGGUAAUACCAGCACCCCGAGUGGUCGGGACGUUUAUUGGGCCUAAAGCAUCCGUAGCCGGUUCUACAAGUCUUCCGUUAAAUCCAACUGCUUAACAGGUGGGCUGCGGAAGAUACUAUAGAGCUAGGAGGCGGGAGAGGCAAGCGGUACUCGAUGGGUAGGGGUAAAAUCCGUUGAUCCAUUGAAGGCCACCAGUGGCGAAGGCGGCUUGCCAGAACGCGCUCGACGGUGAGGGAUGAAAGCUGGGGGAGCAAACCGGAUUAGAUACCCGGGUAGUCCCAGCUGUAAACGAUGCAGACUCGGUGAUGAGUUGGCUAUAUGCCAACUCAGUGCCGCAGGGAAGCCGUUAAGUUUGCCGCCUGGGGAGUACGGUCGCAAGACUGAAACUUAAAGGAAUUGGCGGGGGAGCACCACAAGGGGUGAAGCCUGCGGUUCAAUUGGAGUCAACGCCGGG
rnacentral:rRNA from 1 species